UUCCGCGUGCAGGACGAAGGCCUUCGGGUUGUAAACUGCUUUUGUACGGAACGAAAAAGCUCUUACUAAUACUAGGAGUCCAUGACGGUACCGUAAGAAUAAGCACCGGCUAACUACGUGCCAGCAGCCGCGGUAAUACGUAGGGUGCGAGCGUUAAUCGGAAUUACUGGGCGUAAAGCGUGCGCAGGCGGUUAUAUAAGACAGAUGUGAAAUCCCCGGGCUCAACCUGGGAACUGCAUUCGUGACUGUAUAGCUAGAGUGCGGCAGAGGGGGAUGGAAUUCCGCGUGUAGCAGUGAAAUGCGUAGAUAUGCGGAGGAACACCGAUGGCGAAGGCAAUCCCCUGGGCCUGCACUGACGCUCAUGCACGAAAGCGUGGGGAGCAAACAGGAUUAGAUACCCUGGUAGUCCACGCCCUAAACGAUGUCAACUGGUUGUUGGGUCUUCACUGACUCAGUAACGAAGCUAACGCGUGAAGUUGACCGCCUGGGGAGUACGGCCGCAAGGUU
rnacentral:rRNA from 1 species